rnacentral:lncRNA from 1 species
AUGCAUUCGUCCGAUGGAUUGGUUUGCAGCGAUCGACCUGAAGGACGCGUACUUUCAUGUCUCCAUUCUUCCUCAACACAGACCGUUUCUUCGGUUUGCUUUCGAGGGGCAGGCAUAUCAGUACAAGGUUCUCCCAUUCGGGUUGGCCCUCUCUCCCCGCGUCUUUACAAAGGUUGCGGAGGGGGCCCUGGCUCCUCUCAGGGAACAGGGUGUCCGUAUCCUCAACUACCUCGACGACUGGCUGAUCCUAGCUCACUCUCGAGAGCGGUUGUGCGAGCACAGGGAUCUGGUGCUCAGACACCUCGCCCGACUGGGUCUUCAGGUCAGCUGGGAAAAGAGCAAACUCUCCCCUGUGCAGAGGAUCUCUUUUCUCGGUAUGGAAAUAGACUCGGUCGCCAUGUUCGCGCAGCUUACAAACGAGCGCGCGCAGUCACUGCUGAGUUGCCUGAGACAAUUCGUGGGCAAGAGAGCGGUUCCACUGAAACUGUUUCAGAGGCUCCUGGGGCAUAUGGCGUCCGCGGCGGCAGUCAUACCGCUCGGGCUACUCCAUAUGAGACCGCUUCAGCACUGGCUUCACGACCGAGUCCCGAGAUGGGCAUGGCAACAGGGCACGCUCCGAGUGACCAUCACUCCGGCCUGCCGUCGAUACUUCACCCCGUGGUUGGACCCCUCGUUUCUACGGGCCGGCGUGCCCCUAGAACCGGUGUCCAGACAUGUUGUUGUGUCAACAGAUGCCUCUGCCACGGGCUGGGGUGCCAUGUGCAAUGGGCAUGCUGCGUCAGGCUCCUGGCCAGGACCCCGACUUCAGUGGCAUGUCAAUUGCCUCGAGUUGCUAGCAGUACGUCUUGCUCUGCACCGCUUCAGGGCCCUGCUGAAGGACAAGCACGUUCUGGUUCGUACGGACAACACUGCGACCGUAGCGUACAUCAACCGUCAGGGUGGUCUACGCUCCCGCCGCAUGUCGCAACUCGCUCGCCAUCUCCUCCUGUGGAGUCACAAGCAUCUGAGGUCGCUUCGUGCCAUUCACAUUCCAGGCAGGCUCAAUCGUGCAGCCGACGAGCUCUCACGACAGCAGUCUCGCCCCGGGGAAUGGAGACUCCACCCCCAGUCGGUUCAGCUGAUUUGGGAACACUUCGGAGACGCCCAGGUAGACCUGUUUGCCUCUCCAGAAAAUUCCCACUGCCAGUUGUUUUACUCCCUGACCAAGGGCACCCUCGGCACGGACGCCCUGGCACACAGCUGGCCGCUGGGCCUGCGCAAGUAUGCGUUUCCCCCAGUGAGCCUUCUUGCACAGACGUUGUGCAAGAUCAGGGAGGACGAGGAGCAGGUCCUCAUGGUUGCGCCUUUUUGGCCCGGCCGGACCUGGUUCCCCGAACUUGUACUCCUCGCGACAGCCCCUCCCUGGCCAAUUCCUCUGAGGAGGGACCUUCUUUCUCAGAGACGGGACACCCUCUGGCACCCACGUCCCGAUCUAUGGAACCUACAUGUGUGGGUUCUGGACGGGUCACGGAAGGUUUAGGUACCUUGCCACCACAGGUGGUAGCUACCAUCACUUCAGCUAGAGCCAUGUCCACCAGACAUGCCUAUGCCUUGAAGUGGAACCUCUUCGUCACUUGGUGUUCUUCACGGCGUGAGGACCCCUGGAAGUGCCCGAUUGGGUCAGUGCUUUCCUUUCUUCAGGAGGGGUUGGAACGUAGGCUGUCUCCUUCCACCCUCAAGGUCUAUGUGGCUGCCAUUUCGGCUCACCAUGACCCUGUUGAAGGUAAGUCUCUUGGAAGGCACGAUCUGAUCAUCAGAUUCCUGAGAGGAGCAAGGAGGCUCAAUCCGCCUCGCCCUCAGCAAGUCCCCUCUUGGGACCUCGCAGUGGUUCUAUCAGCACUGCAGAGAGCUCCCUUCGAACCCUUGCUCUCAGUAGAGCUAAAGUUUUUAUCUUUGAAAACUGCGCUCCUGACGGCUUUGGCUUCGGUGAAGAGGGUCGGGGACCUGCAGGCAUUUUCAGUUGACGAAGCGUGCCUGGAAUUCGGGCCGGCUAACUCUCACGUUAUCUUGAGACCCCGGCCUGGGUACGUGCCCAAAGUUCCCACCACUCCUUUUAGGGAUCAGGUGGUGAACUUGCAAGCGCUGCCCCUGGAGGAGGCAGACCCAGCCCUGGCGCUGCUCUGUCCAGUACGUGCGCUCCGCACCUACGUGGACAGAACUCGGUGCCUUAGGACCUCAGACCAGCUCUUUGUCUGUUACGGAGGCCAGCAGAAGGGAAAGGCUGUCUCCAAGCAGAGGUUAUCCCACUGGAUAGUGGAUGCUAUUGUCCUGGCUUAUCAGGCUCGAGACCUGCCAUGCCCCCUAGGGGUGAGAGCUCACUCAACUAGGAGCGUAGCUUCCUCCUGGGCGUUGGCGCAUGGCGCCUCGCUAGCAGACAUCUGUAGAGCUGCGGGCUGGGCGACACCUAACACAUUCGCAAGAUUUUAUAAUCUCCGUGUAGAGCCCGUGUCCUCCCAGAUACUCGCCCCUUCGGGCCAGUAA